UCUGCUAUUGAUCACCAGAGAGGAAAAACGUCCAGUUAUAUUGAUUCAUCGGUGAUUCGUCUUUCUCUUCGGCAACGCAAUCCUCAAUUACUGCAUCAAAUCUCUGACAGCAUGGACCUCUUGCCUGAUCUGUGGAAGCAUGAGUACUGGCUGCCUCCUGGGGUCACCUGGAGAGACAUGGAGCAGAUGGAGGAGUAUCCGCCACCCUGUGACCUGCUGUUUGCCUUGCCUCCGGCUCUGGGGUUCAUUGCCCUCCACUAUGCCUUCCACAGGACUGGCAGAGUGUAUGAAAGAGAUUGCUUUACCCUUU